rnacentral:rRNA from 1 species
GACGAACGCUGGCGGCGUGCCUAAUACAUGCAAGUCGAGCGAGACUCUUCGGAGUCUAGCGGCGGACGGGUGAGUAACACGUGGGCAACCUGCCUGUAAGACUGGGAUAACACCGGGAAACCGGUGCUAAUACCGGAUAAUCCUUUUCCUCUCAUGAAGGAAAGCUGAAAGUCGGUUUCGGCUGACACUUACAGAUGGGCCCGCGGCGCAUUAGCUAGUUGGUGAGGUAACGGCUCACCAAGGCGACGAUGCGUAGCCGACCUGAGAGGGUGAUCGGCCACACUGGGACUGAGACACGGCCCAGACUCCUACGGGAGGCAGCAGUAGGGAAUCUUCCACAAUGGACGAAAGUCUGAUGGAGCAACGCCGCGUGAGCGAUGAAGGCCUUCGGGUCGUAAAGCUCUGUUGUUAGGGAAGAAUAAGUACCGGAGUAACUGCCGGUACCUUGACGGUACCUAACCAGAAAGCCACGGCUAACUACGUGCCAGCCGCCGCAGUAACAC